rnacentral:rRNA from 1 species
UGCAGUCGAGCGCACUCUUCGGAGUGAGCGGCGGACGGGUUAGUAACGCGUGGGAACAUACCCUUUUCUACGGAAUAGCCUCGGGAAACUGAGAGUAAUACCGUAUACGCCCUUCGGGGGAAAGAUUUAUCGGAGAAGGAUUGGCCCGCGUUUGAUUAGAUAGUUGGUGGGGUAAUGGCCUACCAAGUCUACGAUCAAUAGCUGGUUUGAGAGGAUGAUCAGCAACACUGGGACUGAGACACGGCCCAGACUCCUACGGGAGGCAGCAGUGGGGAAUCUUAGACAAUGGGCGCAAGCCUGAUCUAGCCAUGCCGCGUGAGUGACGAAGGCCUUAGGGUCGUAAAGCUCUUUCGCCAGAGAUGAUAAUGACAGUAUCUGGUAAAGAAACCCCGGCUAACUCCGUGCCAGCAGCCGCGGUAAUACGGAGGGGGUUAGCGUUGUUCGGAAUUACUGGGCGUAAAGCGUACGUAGGCGGAUUGGAAAGUAUGGGGUGAAAUCCCAGGGCUCAACCCUGGAACUGCCCUGUAAACUAUCAGUCUAGAGUUCGAGAGAGGUGAGUGGAAUUCCAAGUGUAGAGGUGAAAUUCGUAGAUAUUUGGAGGAACACCAGUGGCGAAGGCGGCUCACUGGCUCGAUACUGACGCUGAGGUACGAAAGUGUGGGGAGCAAACAGGAUUAGAUACCCUGGUAGUCCACACCGUAAACGAUGAAUGCCAGACGUCGGGGGGGCUUGCCCUUCGGUGUCACA